UGUGACCUCAAAUCAGGUAGGACUACCCGCUGAACUUAAGCAUAUCAAUAAGCGGAGGAAAAGAAACUAACAAGGAUUCCCCUAGUAACUGCGAGUGAAGCGGGAAAAGCUCAAAUUUAAAAUCUGUCAGUCUUUGGCUGUCCGAGUUGUAAUCUAGAGAAGUGUUAUCCGCGCUGGACCGUGUACAAGUCUCCUGGAAUGGAGCGUCAYAGAGGGUGAGAAUCCCGUCUUUGACACGGACUGCCAGGGCUUUUGUGAUGCGCUCUCAAAGAGUCGAGUUGUUUGGGAAUGCAGCUCAAAAUGGGUGGUAAAUUCCAUCUAAAGCUAAAUAUUGGCGAGAGACCGAUAGCGAACAAGUACCGUGAGGGAAAGAUGAAAAGAACUUUGGAAAGAGAGUUAAACAGUACGUGAAAUUGCUGAAAGGGAAACGCUUGAAGUCAGUCGCGUCAUCCAGGGAUCAACCUUGCUUUUGCUUGGUGUACUUUCUGGUUGACGGGUCAGCAUCAAUUUUGACCAUUGGAAAAAGAUUAAGGGAAUGUGGCAUACAU
rnacentral:rRNA from 1 species